rnacentral:rRNA from 1 species
CCUAGGUGGCUGCAGUGGGGAAUAUUGGACAAUGGGCGAAAGCCUGAUCCAGCCAUGCCGCGUGUGUGAAGAAGGCCUUCGGGUUGUAAAGCACUUUCAGUGGGGAAGAAAGCCUUGGGGCUAAUACCCUCGAGGAAGGACAUCACCCACAGAAGAAGCACCGGCUAACUCCGUGCCAGCAGCCGCGGUAAUACGGAGGGUGCGAGCGUUAAUCGGAAUUACUGGGCGUAAAGCGCGCGUAGGCGGUCUGAUAAGCCGGUUGUGAAAGCCCCGGGCUCAACCUGGGAACGGCAUCCGGAACUGUCAGGCUAGAGUGCAGGAGAGGAAGGUAGAAUUCCCGGUGUAGCGGUGAAAUGCGUAGAGAUCGGGAGGAAUACCAGUGGCGAAGGCGGCCUUCUGGACUGACACUGACGCUGAGGUGCGAAAGCGUGGGUAGCAAACAGGAUUAGAUACCCGAGUAGUC